CCUACGGGAGGCAGCAGUAGGGAAUAUUGCACAAUGGGGGAAACCCUGAUGCAGCAACGCCGCGUGGGUGAAGAAGUAUUUCGGUUUGUAAAGCUCUAUCGUCAGAGAAGAAAAUGACGGUAUCUGACGAAGAAGCACCGGCUAACUACGUGCCAGCAGCCGCGGUAAUACGGAGGGGGCAAGCGUUAUCCGGAUUCACUGGGUGUAAAGAGAGCGUAGACGGGAGAGCAAGUCUGAAGUGAAAGCCCGUGGCACAACUGUGGGACUGCUUUUGAAACUGUCAGUCUAGAGUGCUGGAGAGGUAAGUGGAAUUCCUGGUGUAGGGGUGAAAUGCGUAGAGAUCAGGAGGAACACCAGUGGCGAAGGCGGCUUACUGGACAGUAACUGACGUUGAGGCUCGAAAGCGUGGGGAGCAAACAGGAUUAGAUACCCGAGUAGUC
rnacentral:rRNA from 1 species